rnacentral:tRNA from 1 species
GCCGAGAUAGCCUAGGUGGUCAUGGCGCGUGUCUGAAGAACACGUUAUGCGGGUUCGACUCCUGCUCUCGGCACCG